GAGCAACCCUGAUCCGGCUGUCAUGUUUCACUUCCUGAACUUGCGAACAAAAUAGAAUCGCCAAGGCACAGAAAACCCUGCGAGUGGCGAGUGUUUUAAGAUCACACUCACAAACAACAUCCAAAGUGGUUAGUGGCAGUUGAGUGAGUGCCAGAGACCCCGAAGAACAGCAGGGCAGACGGAUAGCCAACCACACACACAGCCAACAGCCAACGGCCGAGCAGCAGCAACAACAACAGCCUCGUUUUUCCCGCUUUUCGUUCAGCACACAUAACAACCAAACCAAACGACAGACGAUGGCCGAUGCAGAGAACAAGGUCUUGGCUCCCGAGCCGCAGCAGCAGCAGGAGCAGCAGAAUCUGCAGGAGCAGGAACUCGAGCAGGAGCUGCAGGACGAGCAGCAGCUGCAGGGCAAGCCCGCUCCGCCGCCCAAGGAAGUCAUCGCCACCAAAGUCACCGGCACCGUCAAGUGGUUCAACGUGAAGAGCGGCUACGGCUUCAUCAACCGCAACGACACCAAAGAGGACGUCUUUGUGCACCAGAGCGCCAUUGCCCGGAACAACCCCAAGAAGGCGGUCCGCUCGGUGGGCGACGGUGAGGUCGUUGAGUUCGACGUGGUCAUUGGCGAGAAGGGAAACGAGGCGGCCAACGUGACCGGUCCGUCCGGCGAGCCAGUGCGGGGCAGUCAGUUUGCGGCGGACAAGCGCCGCAACUUCCGUCCCUGGAUGAAGAAGAACCGCCGCAAGGAUGGCGAAGAUGGUGAGGAGCUGGACGCGCCGGCCCAACAGCAGCAGCAGCAGGCGCCGCCUUCGGUUGACGGGCAGCCGCAGCAGCUGCAGUCCGGCCCGCGCCAGCCCCGCCAGAACUUCCGCCGAGGACCACCCGGUGGAGGACCGCCCGGAGGACCUCGUGGUGGCCCCCGAGGACCGCCCGGCGGAGCUCCCGGUGGCCCCCGGCGCUACAACAACUACUAUCCGCGCCAGCCGCGUCGCGGCCUGGGCGGCGGUGACGGCAGCAGCGCCGAGCCCGGCGUCCACGAUCAGAAUCCCGAGGGUCUGCAGCGCGGCGAGGGUCAGGGACCGCGUCGCGGUGGCGGCCCACCGGGCGGACCUCAGAGGCGCUUCUUCCGACGCAACUACAACAACGGACCACCGCCGCCACGCCGCGAUGGCGGGGAAUACAUUCAAGGUCAGGGACCGCCACGCCCUCAACAGCCACGUCCACGUCGCCAGAAUCGGAAACCAAAUGGCCCUGGCGGUGGUUUGGAGCAGCAGCCACAGCAGGUAAUGAACUAAUCAACACAACAGCAACAACUGAAACAUCUUCGCCAAAGCAAAACUACGAUAACAACAUCUAAUUAGUAAACAUCAGCAACAGCCAGCGGCAAACUUAACAACAACAACAAGAUGCAUUCAUACUUAACCACUAACAACAACAGUCACUCACAAGAAAGACAGCGAAAAAGAGGAGAAACCUUAACACUUAGAGGCUUUGGGUCUAACAUUCUUUUAUUUUAGUUACCUGUAACUAAUUGGCAAACAAACAAAAAACACACACACAUUUAAUGUAAAACAGAGAACUGCAUUUUACUUUUACCAUUUGAAAUUUUUAAGUUGACUUAUCGUUAUGAUUUUUACCCCUCGCUAUCCCCACACAAAAUCCUUAGAACGGCGCUCAAGAGCUGCAAAAUACAACCACAGAGAGCACUGCUUAGAAAGGACCGUCGAACCGUCGUAAAACAUCAGUAGCAGUAGCAGUAGCAGCAGCAUAUAACAACAGUCGCAGCAGCAGCAGCAGCACAUCAACAACAUCAGCAAUCACUGCAAAAUGGAGCAACAACAUCAGCAAAUAUUGCAGCACUUUGCUAAAUGAGCCGCCGCGUUUUUUCGGUUUGUUUGCUUUUUGUUUUGUUUCGGAGGGCAGCAGAACGAAUUGUAAAACUAAUACAACAUCCAACAACAGCAACAUGAAAGUCUAUAUCAAAUUCAAAAAACAAAUUUUAAUCAUGCCUGGCCGUCAGAAAAUUGCCUAAAUGUCGAAUUGUAUUAUAUAAAACGAAGCAACAAAAAUAAAUUCAAAUACGCCCAGCAA